rnacentral:rRNA from 1 species
GAUGAACGCUAGCGGCAGGCCUAAUACAUGCAAGUCGGACGGGAUUCAGGAGCUUGCUUCUGAUGAGAGUGGCGCACGGGUGCGUAACACGUAUGUAACCUACCUUUAUCAGGGGGAUAGCCUCUCGAAAGAGAGAUUAAGCCCGCAUAAAAUCACAGCACAGCAUUGUGUAAUGAUCAAAUAUUUAUAGGAUAAAGAUGGGCAUGCGGAACAUUAGCUAGAUGGCGGGGUAACGGCCCACCAUGGCGACGAUGUUUAGGGGAUCUGAGAGGAUGGCCCCCCACACUGGUACUGAGACACGGACCAGACUCCUACGGGAGGCAGCAGUAAGGAAUAUUGGUCAAUGGGCGGAAGCCUGAACCAGCCAUGCCGCGUGCAGGAAGACGGCCCUACGGGUUGUAAACUGCUUUUAUACGGGAAUAAACCCAGAUACGUGUAUCUGGCUGAAGGUACUGUAAGAAUAAGGAUCGGCUAACUCCGUG